CCUUUUUAGCUAUGAAAGGGGAAACCGCAGGAAAAAAGAUUCCUUUGACAAAUUUUUCUGCUAAAUGGUUUGUUCACCCCUCUCUCUUAAAGCCUUGAUUGCUGAUCUAGGAAAAUUUAGGAAAUCAUUACUUAAACUCAUUACAAAUCCAAAACUAAGAAUUCUGUGCUUUAGCAGAGGCACCUUUUAACAUCUGGUUUUAUGUAAUAUUCACAGACCUACAGAAAACCCAGCUAAGGAGGAUAUAGGAGCUUUAAGACAAAGCAGGCCAGUUUGUUUCAGCAGUUUAUCACAUAGCAUGAAUGCGAACGUCUCUGGGGUUUUUUGGAUAUGUUUUUUUGGUUUAACAAAAGUACUAUCUGAGCCUCUACCAAAAUAUCUGAACUCUUGGGAUCUGUAACCCACCUGCUUUUCCUGUUUUGCUAGGUCUCAGCUGAAAUAGAAAAGCAAGAGAAUUGCCAGGUAGGAAUCAGUUCAGUAGUACCUCAGUGUUAUUUCGUAAUAGCUAAUGUCUAACUAAGACAGAUGGACAUAGAUGAUUAUUUGCUAAAAGGGAGACCCCCGUGCUUUUAUCCCAAGUUUAAUGCAAUAAUUACCUUACCUCCUGUUCUGAUUUUCCCAAGACAGCCUUUUUCAGGAAGGAACUAUCAACACGUAGGCUUCCUCCUCUUUGAUAUUUAUUGAAUUGUAUGAUGUUUUGGCACCACAUCAUUUUUUGUUGUUGUUUGCUACUGUGUGAAAACUGUCAGCAGUUGUAAAUUAUCCUUAGAGGAGGGUGAAGGCAGAGCUGAGCUGGGAAUGCAGAAAAGGCUUCCCUAGUUGAUUAAUGCAGCAUCUGCAAAGUACAUCUUGAACAGGAAAUAUUUGAGUUUUAGCAGCCUGAAGCUUACUUGCGGUGUGUGCUUGUAAGCAAACAUCCAUCCUGCAUGUUAAAGCCUCAGGUCUAGAUGCCUGGAGAUGUUACGUAAAAUAGGAAAUGAGUUAAUUCUACAUAUCUGGAUACUGUGUCCUUUCUUACAUUUAAAACUAUGUUAAAUUGCCUAAUUUUCAGAAUUUCAGAAGGCUGCAAGAUAGAACAAACUUUACGAAUAUACAAAUUAUAGUGCUUGAUCUGGCAUCCAGGCAAAGGUAAGAUAAAACUCUAACCAUGUAUUGGUUCAGUAAAACUGCCUUUUCCCUGUUGGGCUGAUUAGCCUUGGGUCAGCGCUGGGUGAAGGUCUCAGUUUGUCAUCUGCAGACCCCGUGGUCAGGAUUUUUCUUCUGCCUGCCUUAGCCAACUCUCUGCUUUUAAGAUCACGGGUGGGCUAUUGAAGCUGAAACCUGUAAUACCUGCAUUACGCAUUGUUGGCCCACACAGGAGUCUAAUCAAGAUGUACCAAGAGGCAUCUGGUUUUACAGAGGCAAUCUAGGAUAUCAUCGUAGCUUCUCCAAUAGAGAAGCUUCUUCUCAUAGAGAAGAAGUUCAAAAGGCGGCUAAUUUCAGGAACAAGCUUAACCUCAUGUCUGCGAGAAAGGAUCUUGGAAGGGCUGGCUAUGUUCAGUCAUUCAGAUAAAUUGUUUGGCUGUUGUCCAUUCCCUGAGCUGCUGCAGUGGAAGGAAGGAAAGUACCAGUAAUCAGAGGAAUGGCUCUCCUGAUACUGAGAUAGCUGUCUUUAUACCACUCCCAGCAGACUUUGGAAAAACCUAGUGCUCUCUUAUGUGCUGUUUGGUUGCUGCCUGCUUGGGAAAGGUCAUUCAGCUUGCAGAAUACUCCAAAUAUGAAUUAAUGUUCCCGAAAUGUGCCUGCAUUUGCUUCUGUAUAGACCUGGAGGAAAAUGGCAAGAAAAUCAACCUGGAGAAUGGUAUCUGUUGUGGCACUAGGCUCUAUAACACCAUCCUUGUAUUCGCAGAGCAUCCAAUUAACAGAUGAAAAAUGAAGAUGCAAGGAGAACUUUAUUUCUUAAUCCCACGUCUACCAAAAGCAGUAUCAAAACGUCACUGAUUCCAAAGGCAUCAGGAGUUCCAAUCGGAAAGGAAUGGUUGGAAGUGGACAAGACCCAAACCAGCAGGUGCAAGAAGUCCCAAACUUUCGUCCUGUCUUAUGGAGAAACAGAUGAUUCCUGAAUCCAAAUAAUCUGAAACUAUGCAGAAGUAGGCAGAGGGGUUUGAAACCUGAGUUCACCCGUAUCUUCUCUUGUCUGAAUGUUCUACUUUUCCCCACCAUAAUUCAUGGUAUAUUUUUGCUUUGGGACACACGGCAAAUGUAAUCAAUCUUUGUAGACAAAGAGACAAUAACAAGUCUGCCAGAGUCACAAGACUGUCUUUCUCAGCUCCACUUAAAAAAAAAAAAAAAGCCACAUUUUUACUGCUGUGUCCCCAUCUCAAUUUUCCUCAUCUUUGUUCCUUUUACCCCUUAUCAGCUCCAGUGGAGUCCAAAGAGUGCAUUUGCACCACAAACUCUUGCAUAUGGGUGCAAGCCUACAGUGUGUGUUGAUAGAAUGAGAAGAAAAAUCCUGAAUUCUAUCAAAAUAUGAAGCCCUUUUGUGAACUGAAGAAAAGAGUUCAAAACCGGUGUCCCAUAACAAAAUUUAUUUUGGUUUAUCUAAAGAAAAGAGGAUAAACAGGGUGUAAAAUAUGCUUUAGCAUUUACUUGGCUCUCUUUUGUAAUAAACUUGAUGCAAAUAACUGGCAUUUGUCCUUACAGGCUACUUGCAGUGUACAGGAAUAUGGGAGAAAUCAUUUGGAUUUCCCACAACACUUACACUCUUGAGGUCAAAUCCUCUGUUCUUUUGUGAGCUGCUUUCCUACUGGAGCUGAUGGAAAUUUUGCCACGCUAUUGCCUUGAACUGAAGUGAUGUGCGUGGGAGGACUGUGGAGUGACACUCUGAGGAUAUUUAGGCAUGGCAGAUAUUCAUUACAUACUCAGAAAUAUUUCAUAAUGAAACGCUGUAAAUUACAGACAGUCAUAUUUCCUUACAAACCAUUAAAAAAAAACUCAUCAAGAAAUUUAUCUGCAAAGCAGCCUUUCCAUUCCUUGUCCUUUAAAUGGAUCUGUCAAGUAUUUGUUCCACAGUUCACAAAUGUCUUCAGCUGACUGUUUUUCCCCCUUUCUGUCUCCUGUUGGGCACAUCUAUCUAGUGCAAAUUCUAUGAAUGAGGGGAACAUCAGACUUUUCACUUAAAAGAAAAUCAUGCUCAUGCUAAUCAGCAUAUCUGAAAACCUAUUUGGAAGGAGACAUUUUUUACCUCCCAUUAAUUCCAAAACGUGCUUGAAAGCUAGGGUAUUUCUGACUCUUAUUGUGGGAGACAGUUAUCUUGCUAGAAGGUGACAUUGUCUGUGACACGGGCAGAUAGCGAGCCUCACUGCAAGGAAAAGUUACCAUUCUGUUUUAUAGCGAUUUAACCUCAAUGGGAAAACACGACUUUAUGCGUUUUACAAACUGCAUUUAACGCUGUGGGAUUUCUUCCACUGCUGACUUUACUGAUGCAAGAUGGGGACCCUAGUGAAUCAGUCCCUCAAACUCCUCCACUGCUUGAUAUGGUGAAGUUAUAUUGUAUGGGAAAACAACCAGGACAAGCAGUGAGUGGUACACUAAUCCUUCACUGCAGAUCCUGUCUUUGUUUAAAUUUUAGGGCAGGAAAUUUACAGGCAACUUGCUGCUGCACAGUUAACAGCAAAUGUGCCACAACAGUCUGUAGGGGAAAGCAAGGCUGCUUUCAGAAAGAUAACUGAAAUACAAAAUACACAGAAUUUCUUGUCCCCUAAUUUAAGUAAAGUGAUUGUUUUCAUAAUCUUUGAUGCUUGAUUAGAAGAAGACUUGGCCUUGUGAAAUCCUCGGGACUUGUUUAUAAGCUGCAGAUGACUGGGAAUGGGAAUGCACUUUGAUUUUAUCCUUGUCUUCUCUGAAGUUAUUCAUUACUGUGAAUAUAAGUAAAUCAUCAUGCAAAUUCAUACUGGAUUCAGUCUGACUGUGAUCCUUGGAUCUGUAAACAGGGGUAGGAAAGUUAUUAUACCUCCACAUACAGCACUGGUAAGACUGAUGCUGAGGUACUGUGCUCACUUCCGCUGUACAUAUUCUAGAAGGUGAUCUUGCAAAUCGGAGAGGAUGCAUAGAGGAGCUACAAAAGUUAACUAAAAGCCAAAGAAAUUCCUUAGCAGGAUCUCAGGCCUCAACCUAUGUAGUUUGUUUGUUUGUUGGUUUUUCAAUAAGAGUUAUUGGUAACUAAAUAAUAGUGGAAGGCUUACUCUCACAAGAAAAUUGUGAGUGCCAGAGGUUUAUAUUAUGUAAUGAAGAAAAGCUGAAUAAGAACCACUUUAUCAGGAGCUGAAGUUAUAUUGGAGUUUCAGUGCCUCUCAGGUAGACAGGCUGGACAAACACUAAUUAAGAGAUUUGGGAAAAUGAUGACCGAGUGAAAUGAUGACUGGCUAAGAUUUGCUGCAGAGGUGGUCAGAGUCGGUGACACAAUGAUUUCUUCUGAUCUCUGUGAAAAUGUACAGACUUUUGCUUUGGUGCAUUGUAGCAGCACAGUGCACUUGACUGCCAAAAAUUUGUAUGCGUUGUUGAGAAAAAUGUUUUGUUUCUAUUACUUUGCAAUGCAGACAAUUAGACAACUGAAAUAGUCCUUAGUUUCUGAGAAGCCUAUGCACAAAUUCCGGGGAAGUCAGGAAGACUUAGAUUUAAAUGCUCUUUUAGUAUCGAUUACAUAACUCUUAGGAACUGGUGAAAGCUACCAGUUUUGAUCAGUUUUGAAACUUCUAUAUGCCUACAUACAGGCACCUUUGAUAACAAGGGAUAUCAUAGAAGAGACAAACUGUUCCACAGGUUUCCCUUCCUAUUAGAAUUUCCCCUAUUUUACCUGUUUUCAGGCUUCAUCCAAGUAUGGAUCUUUGCUAAGUUUUGAGAAAUCUGAAAGAUGGUGCUAUUUAUUUUUGGUAUAACGGAGUUGUAGGACUGAUGUACUUUGGCAGUUUAUCUGUUCUCCGCAUGGCUUCAUACAGGCAGGGAAGUUGAACAUUUUUUAUCUAAAAAGUUACCUUAAUUCUUUAAGGACUAAAAAGGAUGAUUGUAUCUUUUAGAAAGGGAAGCAUUUGCAAGAUGUGCUACAAGGGAAAUUUGUAGAAAUUUUGCACUAGAAAUGACAUCACUGAACCAAUUUCAAUAUAUUUUUUAAAAAUUGCAAAUGAGAGAUAGUGUUUUUACCUGCAUUAAUCUCUCUGAAAUUUCUUCAGAGAGAAGAAACAGGGAUACCUUAAGAAGCUUAGAGGAUGAAAUAAAGACUGACUGCCAAAUACAUCAGUAUCUUCCCAUUCUACUCUUGGCAGCAUAGAUACUUUCAGCUGACUCUGCUCUAGGAUAUAUUCAUGAGGAUUUAAAUUGUGUAUCUUAGAAGGAAUAUUGGCGUUUUGUAAGGAAUUUAAUUCUUCAUGACCUAAUGGCUGAGUAAUGCAGAACAAAUGAUAAGAUAUUUACUUAGCUCCAGCAGUAUUUCCUUAAAUUGCAGGUAAAAGCAGAACAAGAAAAGAGAUGACAUAACUUUAGUCUGUAGAAUAGCUGAUGAAAAAAGAAACAGCUUAUAAGGAACAGUAUGAAAAAAUAGAAAUAUAUGAAAAAUAUGGAAUUCAGUCCUCAGUAUUAGAAUGAGAAUGAAGUUUCUAGCAGAACAGUCCUUUCCAUGCAAAAACUUUUCGCUCAUAUUCACACGAAUGCAAAAUCUCCAUCUCUCUCGCUCCAAUGCAAGAGACCUCAUAAAAUAUAUGCCAGAAGGGAAAGGGUUAGCAGUUGCCCAGAAACAGUACAGUAGUCUUGCAGCCCUUGGGAAUAGAUUCAUGGGGACUCUGAGAUAAAAAAUGUACUCAUUAUGAUGAAUUGCUCCAUGAAAACAUCAGUUCGGUGCUCAAUAGUCGUCUGGAAAGCUAAUCAAGUAUUAGGAAUUAUUAGGAAAGAAAUAGUGAACAAAGAGGAAAACAUCGUUCUGCCGUUGCAUAAAUUCAAGCUUCUCUCACAUGAUGAAUAAGGUAGGCAGCUUUGGUCCCCUCAUCUCAUGAUACAGAAGAACUCGAAAAGGUUCAGCGAAAGGCAGAAAGGAUGAUCAGAAGAAUUAAACAGUUUCCAUAUGAGAAAUGAUUGAGUCAUCUGGGAUGAAAAGGAGGAUAAACUUGAGGAGGACAUGAGAGAGGUCUGCAAAAUUAUGAAUGCCAUGGAGAAUAAAGAUAGAGGUCAAUUGUUUGCUGUCUUUUGUGUCCGAGAACUGGAGGCCAUCAAAUGAAUCCAACAGGAAGGAGAUUCAAAACCAAAAAAUAAGACUGUUCUUCAUGCAACACGUAGCAGCCCUGAAGGAGUCCCUGCCAAGUGAGGUAUGGGUGCAAGAAGUUUACAGGGCUUCUGGGGGAGACUGGACAGACAAUUGGAAGAAAUCCAUUGCAGGUGACUAAAUAGACAAACCACAACAGGCUCAGGAAAACCCUGGUCUGAAAAAAAGCAGAAGCUGAAGGAUGAUUGAUUAGGGGAUGUUUCACUAUGAGUAAAAACUAUCCCUUGUGACCUAUACUUCUCCACCAGCCAGAUGUGAAUUAUUUACACAGGAUGUUGCUAAAGACAAUCAAACACAAACUGAGGCUUCUUUUAAUUAUUUAAUUAAUUUUGCUUUCUAAAGCAGGGACCCCAGGGACUGUUUUGUCUGCCGUAUAGAUGGCCUUCUGAAAAUCAAUGUAAUCUUAUCCUUUUAAUGUGUUACAACAGGGAUGCUUAACUUAUUUCUAGUCUGGCCCCCAGUGCUCAGAGAAAAUUGCUUCCUGGAAACCUUCUCUUAGUCAUAACUGUGUUUGAUCCUUUUGUCUCCGGCAACUGAACAUACUGAGGGAAAAAUCUGUGGAAAUCACUGAUGUUACCAAUUUAGGAAAGUGUUCUUUGAACCGAAAGUAAAGUUCUUUGGCAACUGGAAAAAAGAAGAAAAGAUAGCCUGAUGUGACAAGCCAGUACUCUGCACCAGAAGGAGCUAUGUAAUAUGUUGUACUGAUUCAAUACCAAUAUAUGAUGUCUUUUGGAAAAUAUAUAUAAGUGCACAACUUUUGUCCAGUCUUGACAUAAUCUUGGGGAGAUAAGGGUGAAAGAGUGGGUCUAGAUUUUGUGAUUCCUUCUCAAAGAUUGAUACCCUAAUAUAAAUGUUCACCCUUCUCUUGCUUACAGAAACACUUUAGCUCCUUCAGUCAUCCCAAGAGUAUUCUUUCUCAGAUAAAAGUAAUUAAAAUCAAAACAAAAAUUAAUACAGCCCAGUGCAGUUAGAUAUGAGUCUAACCUGGAAUGCUUCCUUCCCAUGUACAGUAUCUCCUUCAAAAUCCACGAGGAACAGCCAUUUUGGAUCCUGUUUUCAUAAAUAAACUGCAUAUUCAAUUACCCUAAUUACUCUAGGUUACUAAGAGAACUGAUUUAAGUUCACAGCUAUUGAACGUGCAGCUACUCAUAUGUACCCAAUUACACUACUUCUGACCUGCCUUUUCUUUCUGUGGUUAGACCUAAUAAUAACUCAAGAAGAUCACAAGGAAGUUCUGUUCUUAAAAUAACCUUGGCUUCCAUGAUAAUCUUUUGGGUAUAUCUUUUGUGCAUAAUUACGCAUUUUCUUUUCCUUUUUUAUGUUGUUUAAUUUCACAAUGGUGGCAUUCAUCUACCACAUUUAUCCAAAUAUCAGGCCAAACUAUCUUUGCUGUUUUUCAAAAAGGAUUUCUGUUGUAAGAUGCUUCACAUUAUACUUGCACCUAUUUGGAGUUAAAGGCCCUGAGUCCCAGCAACAGUCAUGGAGGAGGGGGAGCUGAGAGCAAUCUGGCUUUGAAUCAGCAUGGGAGGUACACCCACUUCCAGCUUUUCUGGAGGUGAUGGUAAUGACCUCCUUUACUGCCAGCUGCCUUUCAACCUGCCUGCAUUUCUUUCUGGAGGAUUGCCUGAUGAACAAAGGGCAAACUUUUUUUCACCUUCCAAAAAAGACCAAAAACAUAGGAGUGCUUGAAUAAAUAUGACACAUACUUUGUCAAUUUCUGAUAGCUCUGCAGUGCAGUGCUAUAGUCUUCGUAGAUAUCUUUCAUAUUUUCUCCCUGUCUUU